rfam:Thelohanellus kitauei scaffold03025, whole genome shotgun sequence.
UCCCCUAUGGUCUAGUGGCUAGGAUUUCACGUUCUCACCGUGAAGGCCCGGGUUCGACUCCCGGUGGGGGAA